rnacentral:rRNA from 1 species
UACGUAGGGAGCAAGCGUUGUCCGGAAUCAUUGGGCGUAAAGCGCGCGUAGGCGGCCUUGUAAGUCCGUUGUGAAAGUCAAAGGCUCAACCUUUGAAAGCCGAUGGAUACUGCAGGGCUAGAGUCCGGAAGAGGCGAGUGGAAUUCCUGGUGUAGCGGUGAAAUGCGUAGAUAUCAGGAGGAACACCGGUGGCGAAGGCGGCUCUCUGGACGGAUACUGACGCUGAGGCGCGAAAGCGUGGGGAUCAAACAGG